GACCUGGCAGCGACCUACUCUCCGCGUCUUGAGACGAAGUACCAUUGGCGCUGGAGCGUUUCACGGCCGAGUUCGGAAUGGGAUCGGGUGCAGCCGCUCCGCCAUAACCACCA
rnacentral:rRNA from 1 species